rnacentral:rRNA from 1 species
GUUAUAGGGUCAAGUGAAGAAGCGCAUACGGUGGAUGCCUUGGCAGUCAGAGGCGAUGAAAGACGUGGUAGCCUGCGAAAAGCUUCGGGGAGUCGGCAAACAGACUGUGAUCCGGAGAUGUCUGAAUGGGGGAACCCAGCCAUCAUAAGAUGGUUAUCUUGUACUGAAUACAUAGGUGCAAGAGGCGAACCAGGGGAACUGAAACAUCUAAGUACCCUGAGGAAAAGAAAUCAACCGAGAUUCCCUUAGUAGUGGCGAGCGAACGGGGACUAGCCCUUAAGUGGCUUUGAGAUUAGCGGAACGCUCUGGAAAGUGCGGCCAUAGUGGGUGAUAGCCCUGUACGCGAAAAUCUCUUAGUCAUGAAAUCGAGUAGGACGGGGCACGAGAAACCUUGUCUGAAUAUGGGGGGACCAUCCUCCAAGGCUAAAUACUACUGACUGACCGAUAGUGAACUAGUACCGUGAGGGAAAGGCGAAAAGAACCCCGGAGAGGGGAGUGAAAUAGAUCCUGAAACCGUCUGCGUACAAGCAGUGGGAGCCCACUUGUUGGGUGACUGCGUACCUUUUGUAUAAUGGGUCAGCGACUUAUUUUCAGUGGCAAGCUUAACCGAAUAGGGGAGGCGUAGCGAAAGCGAGUCUUAAUAGGGCGUCUAGUCGCUGGGAAUAGACCCGAAACCGGGCGAUCUAUCCAUGGGCAGGUUGAAGGUUGGGUAACACUAACUGGAGGACCGAACCGACUACCGUUGAAAAGUUAGCGGAUGACCUGUGGAUCGGAGUGAAAGGCUAAUCAAGCUCGGAGAUAGCUGGUUCUCCUCGAAAGCUAUUUAGGUAGCGCCUCAUGUAUCACUGUAGGGGGUAGAGCACUGUUUCGGCUAGGGGGUCAUCCCGACUUACCAAACCGAUGCAAACUCCGAAUACCUACAAGUGCCGAGCAUGGGAGACACACGGCGGGUGCUAACGUCCGUCGUGAAAAGGGAAACAACCCAGACCGUCAGCUAAGGUCCCAAAGUCAUGGUUAAGUGGGAAACGAUGUGGGAAGGCUUAGACAGCUAGGAGGUUGGCUUAGAAGCAGCCACCCUUUAAAGAAAGCGUAAUAGCUCACUAGUCGAGUCGGCCUGCGCGGAAGAUGUAACGGGGCUCAAACCAUGCACCGAAGCUACGGGUAUCACUUAGGUGAUGCGGUAGAGGAGCGUUCUGUAAGCCUGUGAAGGUGAGUUGAGAAGCUUGCUGGAGGUAUCAGAAGUGCGAAUGCUGACAUGAGUAACGACAAUGGGUGUGAAAAACACCCACGCCGAAAGACCAAGGUUUCCUGCGCAACGUUAAUCGACGCAGGGUGAGUCGGUCCCUAAGGCGAGGCUGAAAAGCGUAGUCGAUGGAAAACAGGUUAAUAUUCCUGUACUUCUGGUUAUUGCGAUGGAGGGACGGAGAAGGCUAGGCCAGCUUGGCGUUGGUUGUCCAAGUUUAAGGUGGUAGGCUGGAAUCUUAGGUAAAUCCGGGGUUUCAAGGCCGAGAGCUGAUGACGAGUUACCCUUUAGGGUGACGAAGUGGUUGAUGCCAUGCUUCCAAGAAAAGCUUCUAAGCUUCAGAUAACCAGGAACCGUACCCCAAACCGACACAGGUGGUUGGGUAGAGAAUACCAAGGCGCUUGAGAGAACUCGGGUGAAGGAACUAGGCAAAAUGGCACCGUAACUUCGGGAGAAGGUGCGCCGGUGAGGGUGAAGGACUUGCUCCGUAAGCUCAUGCCGGUCGAAGAUACCAGGCCGCUGCGACUGUUUAUUAAAAACACAGCACUCUGCAAACACGAAAGUGGACGUAUAGGGUGUGACGCCUGCCCGGUGCCGGAAGGUUAAUUGAUGGGGUUAGCUCACGCGAAGCUCUUGAUCGAAGCCCCGGUAAACGGCGGCCGUAACUAUAACGGUCCUAAGGUAGCGAAAUUCCUUGUCGGGUAAGUUCCGACCUGCACGAAUGGCGUAACGAUGGCGGCGCUGUCUCCACCCGAGACUCAGUGAAAUUGAAAUCGCUGUGAAGAUGCAGUGUAUCCGCGGCUAGACGGAAAGACCCCGUGAACCUUUACUAUAGCUUUGCACUGGACUUUGAAUUUGCUUGUGUAGGAUAGGUGGGAGGCUUUGAAGCGUGGACGCCAGUUCGCGUGGAGCCAACCUUGAAAUACCACCCUGGCAACUUUGAGGUUCUAACUCAGGUCCGUUAUCCGGAUCGAGGACAGUGUAUGGUGGGUAGUUUGACUGGGGCGGUCUCCUCCUAAAGAGUAACGGAGGAGUACGAAGGUGCGCUCAGACCGGUCGGAAAUCGGUCGUAGAGUAUAAAGGCAAAAGCGCGCUUGACUGCGAGACAGACACGUCGAGCAGGUACGAAAGUAGGUCUUAGUGAUCCGGUGGUUCUGUAUGGAAGGGCCAUCGCUCAACGGAUAAAAGGUACUCCGGGGAUAACAGGCUGAUACCGCCCAAGAGUUCAUAUCGACGGCGGUGUUUGGCACCUCGAUGUCGGCUCAUCACAUCCUGGGGCUGAAGCCGGUCCCAAGGGUAUGGCUGUUCGCCAUUUAAAGUGGUACGCGAGCUGGGUUUAGAACGUCGUGAGACAGUUCGGUCCCUAUCUGCCGUGGACGUUUGAGAUUUGAGAGGGGCUGCUCCUAGUACGAGAGGACCGGAGUGGACGAACCUCUGGUGUUCCGGUUGUCACGCCAGUGGCAUUGCCGGGUAGCUAUGUUCGGGAAAGAUAACCGCUGAAAGCAUCUAAGCGGGAAACUUGCCUCAAGAUGAGAUCUCACUGGAACCUUGAGUUCCCUGAAGGGCCGUCGAAGACUACGACGUUGAUAGGUGGGGUGUGUAAGCGCUGUGAGGCGUUGAGCUAACCCAUACUAAUUGCCCGUGAGGCUUGACCCUAUAACACCCAAGCAAUU